rnacentral:rRNA from 1 species
CAAACGACUCUCGGCAACGGAUAUCUCGGCUCAUGCAUCGAUGAAGAACGUAGCGAAAUGCGAUACUUGGUGUGAAUUGCAGAAUCCCGUGAACCAUCGAGUUUUUGAACGCAAGUUGCGCCCGAAGCCAUUCGGCCAAGGGCACGUCUGCCUGGGCGUCACAC